rnacentral:rRNA from 1 species
UAGCAUAUCAAUAAGCGGAGGAAAAGAAACCAACAGGGAUUGCCCUAGUAACGGCGAGUGAAGCGGCAACAGCUCAAAUUUGAAAUCUGGCUCUUUAGAGUCCGAGUUGUAAUUUGCAGAGGGCGCUUUGGCUUUGGCAGCGGUCCAAGUUCCUUGGAACAGGACGUCACAGAGGGUGAGAAUCCCGUACGUGGUCGCUGGCUAUUGCCGUGUAAAGCCCCUUCGACGAGUCGAGUUGUUUGGGAAUGCAGCUCUAAAUGGGAGGUACAUUUCUUCUAAAGCUAAAUAUUGGCCAGAGACCGAUAGCGCACAAGUAGAGUGAUCGAAAGAUGAAAAGCACUUUGGAAAGAGAGUCAAACAGCACGUGAAAUUGUUGAAAGGGAAGCGCUUGCAGCCAGACUUGCUUGCAGUUGCUCAUCCGGGCUUUUGCCCGGUGCACUCUUCUGCAGGCAGGCCAGCAUCAGUUUGGGCGGUAGGAUAAAGGUCUCUGUCACGUACCUCUCUUCGGGGAGGCCUUAUAGGGGAGACGACAUACUACCAGCCUAGACUGAGGUCCGCGCAUCUGCUAGGAUGCUGGCGUAAUGGCUGUAAGCGGCCCGUCUUGAAACACGGACCAAGGAGUCUAACAUCUAUGCGAGUGUUUGGGUGUCAAGCCCGAGCGCGUAAUGAAAGUGAACGGAGGUAGGAACCCGCAAGGGUGCACUAUCGACCGAUCCUGAUGUCUUCGGAAGGAUUUGAGUAAGAGCAUGGCUGUUGGGACCCGAAAGAUGGUGAACUAUGCUUGAAUAGGGUGAAGCCAGAGGAAACUCUGGUGGAGGCUCGCAGCGGUUCUGACGUGCAAAUCGAUCGUCAAAUUUGGGCAUAGGGGCGAAAGACUAAUCGAACAUCAGUGCAA